rnacentral:rRNA from 1 species
GAUGAACGCUGGCGGCGUGCCUAAUACAUGCAAGUCGAGCGAACAGACGAGGAGCUUGCUCCUCUGACGUUAGCGGCGGACGGGUGAGUAACACGUGGAUAACCUACCUAUAAGACUGGGAUAACUUCGGUAAACCGGAGCUAAUACCGGAUAAUAUAUUGAACCGCAUCGUUCAAUAGUGAAAGACGGUUUUGCUGUCACUUAUAGAUGGAUCCGCGCCGCAUUAGCUAGUUGGUAAGGUAACUGCUUACCAAGGCAACGAUGCGUAGCCGACCUGAGAGGGUGAUCGGCCACACUGGAACUGAGACACGGUCCAGACUCCUACGGGAGGCAGCAGUAGGGAAUCUUCCGCAAUGGGCGAAAGCCUGACGGAGCAACGCCGCGUGAGUGAUGAAGGUCUUCGGAUCGUAAAACUCUGUUAUUAGGGAAGAACAAAUGUGUAAGUAAAUAUGCACGUCUUGACGGUACCUAAUCAGAAAGCCACGGCUAACUACGUG